rnacentral:rRNA from 1 species
AUUGAACGCUGGCGGCAUGCCUUACACAUGCAAGUCGAACGGUAACAGGUCUUCGGAUGCUGACGAGUGGCGAACGGGUGAGUAAUACAUCGGAACGUGCCUAGUAGUGGGGGAUAACUACUCGAAAGAGUGACUAAUACCGCAUGAGAUCUACGGAUGAAAGCAGGGGAUCGCAAGACCUUGUGCUACUAGAGCGGCCGAUGGCAGAUUAGGUAGUUGGUGGGAUAAAAGCUUACCAAGCCGACGAGCUGUAGCUGGUCUGAGAGGACGAUCAGCCACACUGGGACGGAGACACGGCCCAGACGCCUACGGGAGGCAGCAGUGGGGAAUUUUGGACAAUGGGCGCAAGCCUGAUCCAGCAAUGCCGCGUGCAGGAUGAAGGCCUUCGGGUUGUAAACUGCUUUUGUACGGAACGAAAAGCCCUGGGUUAAUACCCUGGGGUCAUGACGGUACCGUAAGAAUAAGCACCGGCUAACUACGUGCCAGCAGCCGCAGUAACAC